UAACACAACAAAUAUAUAUUGCCCUUAACCUGAGAUGUUUUCCAACUUAAUAAAUCAAAGCAAUCAAAUUAAAGGCUAUUUGGUGCCAUUAGGUGUGGAAAUUGCUAUAUGUGUUAUACUUUUCAUUCUGUAUUAUUUCAAGUGUAUGCUCUGAAUCUAAACACUGAACAGCAGAGGACAGUAACAGCACAGGAAAAUGUUGAUCUCUGAAAGCUCCUCCUCCUUAAAAAUGUACAAUAAAUUAUUUCCCUCCAUUGUGUUCUUCCAGAUAAUCUCUGCAUACCUAUUCCAUCUUUGCAGGAUUUUAUUUUAAGCAAAAUAAUGUUUAAAUUGUUAAUCACUUCACUGAUGUUUCUGUCUUUGUUUGCAGAUAUCAUCGCAUCACCACCUGUAAUCCAGCAGACCCCUGCCUCUAUUCUGAUAAAGUCAGGACAGGUGGCCCUUCUCCACUGUUACCAUGGGGAUAACAGCUAUCCCUACAUGCUCUGGUACCAGUCAGCGGCAGGAGGCAGACAUACCAUGGACCUGAUUGGACUGCUUCAUUAUGAAACCCAAACGCCUGAGAAGAGCUUUGAAAACCGUUUUAACAUGACAGGCCAUUCAAAAGGCAAAGCUCAGCUGAUUAUCUCUGACACCAAACCAGAAGACACAGCAGAAUAUUUCUGUGCAGCAAGAUAACACAGUGUUUCAACUCCUCUGGCUGCUGUACAAAAACACUGCAGCGCAUGUCAACCAUGCACCUGCAUGAACUGACUGAUAAAUUCAUUUCUGAUGCUGAAGUUGGCUUUUGUACAUUUUAUUUUUGUAUAAAAAACGUAAAGGCGCUUGAGAAAUGGGUGGGAUAUUUCCAGACCAAUACGCCUCAACACAACAGAAUCACAAAUGAGCUUCUUUACAGCUUUAGUUUUAGAAGUGACAUCACUUCCUCCUGACAGACGCGAUCCUUUUGGUUCUGUGCAGUUAAACCUUUUUACUCUCUGAGGACAAAAUGAAUCCAGGCAUCACCGCAUUGGCAUAUUUCAUAUUUUGGAUUGCAGGUGUCUGUGAAUCUGUUCUGAUCAGUCAAUGGCCCAGAUACAUCUCCAGUAUUUCCAGUGGUCGUGCAGAAAUACACUGCUACCAGAACGACACAGAUUAUAACUAUCUGUACUGGUACAGACAGCUUGGAGGAAGAGAGAUUCAGCUAAUUGUGUAUUUGCUAGCUGGGAAUUCAAACUUUGAGACAGACUUUACAUCUGGCUUUAAGGCAGUGCAAACAAAUAAGCAGUGGUCUCUGACUAUAUCCAAUGUUCAGGAGAAAGAUGAGGCUGUGUAUCUGUGUGCUGCCAGUCACACAGUGCAGCGACAGACCCAAGAACUGUGACAAAAACACACAGCAGAGAGGAUGCUGAUUGUUCUGACACCUGCCUUUUGUGUUAAUGUUUGGAUUAAAGA